rnacentral:rRNA from 1 species
GAUGAACGCUGGCGGCGUGCCUAAUACAUGCAAGUCGAGCGAACGGACGAGAAGCUUGCUUCUCUGGUGUUAGCGGCGGACGGGUGAGUAACACGUGGAUAACCUACCUAUAAGACUGGGAUAACUUCGGGAAACCGGAGCUAAUACCGGAUAAUAUUUUGAACCGCAUGGUUCAAAAGUGAAAGACGGUCUUGCUGUCACUUAUAGAUGGAUCCGCGCUGCAUUAGCUAGUUGGUAAGGUAACGGCUUACCAAGGCAACGAUGCAUAGCCGACCUGAGAGGGUGAUCGGCCACACUGGAACUGAGACACGGUCCAGACUCCUACGGGAGGCAGCAGUAGGGAAUCUUCCGCAAAGGGCGAAAGCCUGACGGAGCAACGCCGCGCGAGUGAUGAAGGUCUUCGGAUCGUAAAACUCUGUUAUUAGGGAAGAACAUAUGUGUAAGUAACUGUGCACAUCUUGACGGUACCUAAUCAGAAAGCCACGGCUAACUACGUG